rnacentral:misc_RNA from 1 species
AACGCACAUUGCGCCCGCUAGUAUUCUGGCGGGCAUGCCUGUUCGAGCGUCAUUUCAACCAUCAAGCCCCAGGCUUGUGUUGGAGCCCUGCGGCCGUCCGCAGCCUCCUAAAAGCAGUGGCGGGCUCGCUAUCACACCGAGUGCAGUAGUUUACUCUUCGCUCAGGACGUGUAGCGGGUUCUAGCCGUGAAACCCCCUAAUUUUCAAAGGUUGACCUCGGAUCAGGUAGGAAUACCCGCUGAACUUAA